AACGUAGGAGGCGAGCGUUAUCCGGAUUUACUGGGCGUAAAGCGCACGCAGGUGGUUUCGUUAGUCGGACAUGAAAGCUCCUGGCUUAACUGGGAGAGGUGGUUCGAUACUGCGAGACUUGAGGUUGGGAGAGGGACGUGGAAUUCCCGGUGUAGUGGUGGAAUGCGUAGAUAUCGGGAGGAACACCAGUGGCGCAAGCGGCGUCCUGGCCCACACCUGACGCUGAGGUGCGAAAGCGUGGGGAGCAAACAGG
rnacentral:rRNA from 1 species